rnacentral:rRNA from 1 species
GACGAACGCUGGCGGCGUGCUUAACACAUGCAAGUCGAACGAAGAGCGAUGGAAGCUUGCUUCUAUCAAUCUUAGUGGCGCACGGGCGAGUAACGCGUAAUCAACCUUCCCUUCAGAGGGGGACAACAGUUGGAAACGACUGCUAAUACCGCAUACGAUCUAAUCUCGGCAUCGAGGAAAGAUGAAAGGUGGCCUCUAUUUAUAAGCUAUCACUGCAGGAGGGGAUUGCGUCUGAUUAGCUAGUUGGAGGGGUAACGGCCCACCAAGGCGAUGAUCAGUAGCCGGUAUGCGAGGAGGAACGGCCACAUUGGGACUGAGACCCGCCCCAGACUCCUACGGGAGGCAGCAGUGGGGAAUCUGCCGCAAUGGACGAAAGUCUGACGGAGCAACGCCGCGUGAGUGAUGACGGCCUUCGGGUUGUAAAGCUCUGUUAAUCGGGACGAAAGGACUUCUUGCGAACAGUUAGAAGGAUUGACGGUACCGGAAUAGAAAGCCACGGCUAACUACGUG